rnacentral:rRNA from 1 species
UACGGAGGGUGCAAGCGUUACUCGGCAUCACUGGGCGUAAAGGGCGCGUAGGCGGCCUAGCAAGUCUGGUGUGAAAGCCCAGGGCUCAACCCUGGAAGGGCACUGGAAACUGUUAGGCUUGAGUUCCGGAGAGGAGGGGGGAAUUCCCGGUGUAGCGGUGAAAUGCGUAGAUAUCGGGAGGAAUACCGGUGGCGAAGGCGCCCCUCUGGACGGAAACUGACGCUGAGGCGCGAAAGUGUGGGUAGCAAACAGG